GGAAGGAUCAUUGCUGAGUUCUUUGAAGUGUAGGGUUUUCACCUUUGUCUUUACCUUUGAUGCUAGCAGCAAAACUUGUUGCAAUGUGCUCAAGGAUCUUUGGACAGGGGGGAUGCCCUUCUACUUUCAAAUCCUCUCACUUCAUUCUUUUUAACACCUGUGCACUUAUAAGCAAGGUCUCAUUAACCUGGGGAAUUAGUCUUUGUGGUUGGUACUAUUGUGUAUUAUGCACAAUGUGUACAUAUCCUUACAAGGAUGCCUCAAGUGAAUGUGUGGACUUUGUCUUUUUCUUACAAACCCUAUAAAAUGUCUUGUAGAAUGGAAUGCUCCAGUUGUGAGCAAAGUGUAUGUAAAUACAACUUUCAACAAUGGAUCUCUUGGCUCUCGCAUCGAUGAAGAACGCAGCGAAAUGCGAUAAGUAAUGUGAAUUGCAGAAUUCAGUGAAUCAUCGAAUCUUUGAACACACCUUGUGCUCCUUGGGUCACCUAUGGAGCAUGCCUGUUUGAGUGUCAUAUUGAUCUCAAUUCCCCCAGGUUUUUGUUACAAUAACCUGUUUGGGUGGAUUGGACUUGGAGGCUGAAUGCUGGUCUGUUACUAGAUCAGCUCCUCUUAAAAACAUUAGCUGGGGGAUGAGGCGAAGGGAGAUCUCCUUUAGCACUGGUUAUAUGCUAUGGUGUAAUAAUUGUUUCAUCAUGGCCCUUGGACUUAAUCAGUGUGCAUGACUUGGGGAUUACCUUUGCAGCUUUCUCUGCUUCUAAUUGUCGGGCUAUGCUUGACAAUUUAUUAUUCUCUUUUGGCCUCAAAUCAGGUAGGACUACCCGCUGAACUUAAGCAUAUCAAUAAGCGGAGGAAAAGAAACUAACAAGGAUUCCCCUAGUAACUGCGAGUGAAGCGGGAAAAGCUCAAAUUUAAAAUCUGGCAGCUCUGCUGUCCGAGUUGUAAUCUGUAGAAGCGUUUUCUGCAUUGGACCGUGUACAAGUCUCUUGGAACAGAGUGUCAUAGAGGGUGAGAAUCCCGUUCAUGACACGGACUACCAAUGCUUUGUGAUACGCUCUCAAAGAGUCGAGUUGUUUGGGAAUGCAGCUCAAAAUGGGUGGUAAAUUCCAUCUAAAGCUAAAUACAGGCGAGAGACCGAUAGCGAACAAGUACCGUGAGGGAAAGAUGAAAAGCACUUUGGAAAGAGAGUUAAACAGUAUGUGAAAUUGUUGAAAGGGAAACACUUGAAGUCAGUCACAUCCUGCAGGACUCAGCCUUGCCUACGGGUUUGGUGCACUUCCUGCAGGAUGGGUCAGCAUCAAUUUUGGUUGGUGGAUAAAGGAUGGGGGAAUGUGGCACCUUUGGGUGUGUUAUAGCCCCUUUUCAUAUACAUUGACUGGGAUUGAGGACUGCAGCAUGCCCUUGUAGGCCAGGACCUAUCAUGUUACAUGCUUAGGAUGCUGACAAAAUGGCUUUAAGUGACCCGUCUUGAAACACGGACCAAGGAGUCUAACAUGCCUGCAAGUGUUUGGGUGGAAAACCCUUACGCACAAUGAAAGUGAAAGUUGGGAACCUCUGUAAGGGGGUGCACCAAUGCCCAGCCCUGAUGUUUACUGACGGUGCUGCGGUGGAGCAUGUAUGUUGGGACCCGAAAGAUGGUGAACUAUGCCUGAAUAGGGUGAAGCCAGAGGAAACUCUGGUGGAAGCUCGUAGCGAUUCUGACGUGCAAAUCGAUCGUCAAAUUUGGGUAUAGGGGCGAAAGACUAAUCGAACCAUCUAGUAGCUGGUUCCUGC
rnacentral:misc_RNA from 1 species